UGGGAUUACCCGCUGAACUUAAGCAUAUCAAUAAGCGGAGGAAAAGAAACUAACAAGGAUUCCCCUAGUAACGGCGAGUGAAGAGGGAAAAGCCCAAAUUUGUAAUCUGGCUCUUUUAGAGUCCGAGUUGUAAUUUUGAGAACUGUUUUCAGUGCUGGACCAUGUUUAAGUCUGUUGAAAAACAGCAUCAUUGAGGGUGAUAAUCCCGUUCAUGAUAUGGACUACCAGUACUUUAUGAUACAGUCUCUAAGAGUCGAGUUGUUUGGGAAUGCAGCUCAAAGUGGGUGGUAAAUUCCAUCUAAGGCUAAAUAUAGGUGAGAGACCGAUAGCAAACAAGUACCGUGAGGGAAAGAUGAAAAGAACUUUGGAAAGAGAGUUAACAGUACGUGAAAUUGCUGAAAGGGAAACAAUUGAAGUUAGCCUUGUUAUUGUCAGUUCAGCUCUUUUAGAGUGUAUUCUGAUGAUUAACGACCAACAUCAGUCUUUGAGUGCUGGAUAAGGGUUUUGGAAAUGUAGCAGUCUCGGCUGUGUUAUAGUCCAUUACUUUGAUACAGUGCUUGGGAUUGAGGAUCGCAGUAAGCCAUUUUAUGGUGGACCAAAUUUUUGGUCUUCUUACUGAGGAUGUUGGUGAA
rnacentral:rRNA from 1 species